GAUGAACGCUGGCGGCGUGCCUAAUACAUGCAAGUCGAGCGAACGGACGAGAAGCUUGCUUCUCUGAUGUUAGCGGCGGACGGGUGAGUAACACGUGGAUAACCUACCUAUAAGACUGGGAUAACUUCGGGAAACCGGAGCUAAUACCGGAUAAUAUUUUGAACCGCAUGGUUCAAAAGUGAAAGACGGUCUUGCUGUCACUUAUAGAUGGAUCCGCGCUGCAUUAGCUAGUUGGUAAGGUAACGGCUUACCAAGGCAACGAUGCAUAGCCGACCUGAGAGGGGGAUCGGCCACACUGGAACUGAGACACGGUCCAGACUCCUACGGGAGGCAGCAGUAGGGAAUCUUCCGCAAUGGGCGAAAGCCUGACGGAGCAACGCCGCGUGAGUGAUGAAGGUCUUCGGAUCGUAAAACUCUGUUAUUAGGGAAGAACAUAUGUGUAAGUAACUGUGCACAUCUUGACGUUACCUAAUCAGAAAGCCACGGCUAACUACGUG
rnacentral:rRNA from 1 species